GGUUAAGCACAUGGUGGAACAGCACAUCACUGUACCUAACGUACUGUACACCUGUGAGCGGCAUGACGAGACAAAAGACGGUAAAACUCAUUAUUAAUCGGUGAUGCUGUACAUUCUGGAUGAUGCACAGCCACAUUUUAUAAUACUGUUUUUUAUUUUCGUGUCGCGCUGCUCGCGUUCAAUAUAAAGUUAGACAAGACGCAAUUAAUUACUGGGAGAGUAGUGGUCUAAUGGUAAGAGUCGAACUUCACGAACCUUUCACUGCUUGCAGUAAGGCUAAAGUGCUACGUGAAUAAGAUGGGUGUAGUUUUGUGCUACUAGCUGUAAAGUGUUUUUGCACUAUUGAGUUAUAAAUACUGCCCAGUAAUACUUAACUAGAUGUAAAUCACAAUUCUUGUGUCAAUGUUUGUUUGUAAUCUUUUUCAGCUAUCCAUCUGAAAAAGAAAAGCUGGCACUCUCAAGGAGAUUGUGUUGUUGGAUUAUGGUCUCAUUUGGUCAAAAAGAGGGACAUUUACCUGGAUUUAUAAAAAUGAGAUUACAGAACAUCAGACGGUAGCUUCAACAGAGUUGAAGUCGGAGGACAUCAUCAAUAAAGAAUGCCAUUGACCAAACCUUCAGUCAUCAAAGAAGAUGGAUACAGGUAAUGACAAAAUCACCAAUUAUUGGGGGACAUCAAGUUUUCCAGACUUACCGAUGGGAAAGAAGAAAUGGGAAUGUGACAAUUAUUGAGAAACUCAGGGAAAAAGCAUCUUUAGAGAAGAAAAUGGACAUCAGACAUUUUUUAAAGAAAGCUGACAGUCAACAUAAUGGCUGGUACCGGUGUGACGUCUUUGCUUACUAAAUGAUCAAAGGGUGUCUGAAAUCAGCUCAGCCACAGUUGGUUUCCAACGGUUCUUCAGGACAUGGAGGCCACUACGUAACUGUUGCAAUAAACGAUUCUUUUGCCUUUCCACCUGAUGUUGACAAUCUGACCUGUGCGGUACUGAAAACAACUUGCACUGACAUAUCUUAAAAUAUAUCAGUGCCCUAUGUUUAGCCUCAAAAUGCACACCAGUAAUGUUUUUGUUGAAACCAGUUAUAUUUCCUAAUUAAACUAAGGCCUAGUCCUGGAUUAAGCUAAUCCCCUGUCCGGGAAACCGCCCCUAAAUGUUUUGUGACGGAAAUUUCUUUGAAUACACUUGUCAAGUUCAUUUUAAGUAUUUUUCUAAAUGUAAGAUAACAUGUUAAUGUUUCAGGACAAGUUAAAAUUUUUUGAUAACUUGCAUGUUGGAAACGAUUUCAGACAUUGUUCUAUUCAACAUGUUUAACACAGUUGCUUUUAAAUUCAAUGAAUUAUUUUAUAAAUAGUGUUUUAAAACUUAUCAAUGUAAUGUAUGUUUGAAGUAAUUAUACUUGCACUUACAUUUAUUUAAAUUAGCAUACAUCUAGCAACAUACAGUACUAGCAUAUUUUCAUGCAAGCAUUAAUUGUCAAAUAUUUGUUAUUUUACAAAUAAAUAGUUUGUGAACAAUAUUCAAUAGUUGUCUGCUUGAUUUCAUAAUUUAAAGUUUACAAAUCAUAUGUUUUUUUUUCUUUUUAAUAUUAAAACUAAACAAUUACUCGGUAACACACAGUUGUGUUAGAUUAAUAGAAAGUUACACAUAAAUGUGUUUACUGAAGCAACACAUUUUUGUGUUGCAUUUUAUAACACAUAUUCUGUGUUAAAUUUAACUCAACAUGUGUUGUCCCUGCGCACACUCAGAACAUGUGUAAAAAAUAACACAUGUUGUGUUGUUUUUAACACAUUUGUUUUAAGAGUGUAUGAUAGGGUUGCCACCUUUGAUUUGUGAAAAACCGGGACACUCAGAUGAAAUUUAUUUUUGUUUUGUUUUUUGGAGGGGGGAUCAACUAAUAUUUGCAAAUAUACUAUGUUAAAAGUUGUAGGACUCUAUUCCCUCUCUAACCUAUAUUUGUCCUGACGUAGAUGCUUUCCCUGAAGUAGAUGCACUCUCUGAUGUAGAUGCACUCACUCUGGACUCCUUUCUACAUUAAAGGCGAAGUCCAUGAUGUUUGAAAGCCAAUGUUGAUAUUUGAUAUUUGAAAUCACCUAAACAAACACGCCCCUACCCCAAUAGAAUCUGGACCUUCUGUUGAUAGACCCGCUGUCAGUACCCGAUCCGUGCCGCCUGUCCAAUCUGUUUUGCGCAUGCGCAUAAUUGUGCGCAUGCGCAGAAGCUCAACUUGUUUUACGACAGUUUACGACCCUACCUGAUCUGUUCUACGCAUGCGCGACAACCGGAGUUUAAAAAUAGUGAAGAAAUGCGUCAUAUAAGAACACCGGCGAACAUAUGGAGGCUAAGUCAUUCGUAUAAAGGACCAACAUGGACCAGUAGUUAUUUCAUGCUGCCCUUCGGCAGUACCUACUAAGUGGGAUGUCGAUGUCGCGGUUGACUGGAAGAGAGUCAUGCGGGUGGCCAACCACUUCGUUGUAGAUGGUUUGUCCAUGCUGAUGGCUAUGCAGCAUAGUUGAAGCAGACCUGUCAGAAAACUUCUCUAAGGUGCUAUGAAUCAUAUGACUAGAUACACAUCCUAAAAUUACUAGAGGUUACGGAAGCUCCUUUUUGGAUCCAGCUUCAUUUGUGAAGACUUCAGAUGAUGCCAACACUCACAGAGGCUUAAGACGAUGGCAACAAUAGAUAGACAUACAAAAUUGCCAAAUAUAAUUUUGUAAUUACUGCCCCAAAGCGCAAGUUUGCCGAUUUUUAACCCACUUUAUAUUGUUACAAAUACAAUAGAUGCUAACAUUUGAACAGAAAAUGUUUCCUCUUUAUUCUUGAGUUAAUUGUGCUGAUUUAUUCCCAUUUUUUUAUCCACAAUUCUUUGCCAAAAUGAUGUUUUGCAUCAUCUAAAUGGUUCAUUUUCAAAUUACAGACAUUGUAACAACACAAAGUAGGUUGAAAUUCUGCCAACUUACCCUAUAAUAAUAAUUGUCUUUUAACUGAACAGGACUUUAAACACAUGACUUGUAUUAACUUAGAGCUAUUGUGAAAUUAAUAUUGUUUUGUUUCCAGAACAUUCUCCUCAGUGAGUCACUGUUACCUCAGACUGAUUAAGGGAUUUUUUGUAACCUUGAAACAUGCAUUGGUUUUAUUAUGGUAAAACUGCAUAUCUUAUUUCAAACCAAGGUUUUGUAACCAUGGUUCUACUACAGUAACAUUAUAGUAAUGCUGGAGUGAAACUGUGGUAACCAUAUUAUUUUAAAUCAUGGUAAAGUUUGUGGUUACUAAAAUGCACUUCUAUAUGCUGUUGUAAGAGCAUGAUUAUUUUUUAUUUAUUAAUAAACCAUGGUUGAUUUUA